rnacentral:rRNA from 1 species
GACGAACGCUGGCGGCGUGCUUAACACAUGCAAGUCGAACGGAAAGGCCCUGCUUUUGUGGGGUGCUCGAGUGGCGAACGGGUGAGUAACACGUGAGUAACCUGCCCUUGACUUUGGGAUAACUUCAGGAAACUGGGGCUAAUACCGGAUAGGAGCUCCUGCUGCAUGGUGGGGGCUGGAAAGUUUCGGCGGUUGGGGAUGGACUCGAGGCUUCUCAGCCUGUUGGUGGGGUAGUGGCUUACCAAGGCUUUGACGGGUAGCCGGCCUGGGAGGGUGACCGGCCACCAUGGUACUGAGAUACCGCCCAGACUCCUACGGGAGGCAGCAGUGGGGAAUAUUGCACAAUGGGCGGAGGCCUGAUGCAGCAACGCCGCGGGCGGGAUGACGGCCUUCGGGUUGUAGACCGCUUUCGCCUGUGACGAAGCGUGAGUGACGGUAAUGGGUAAAGAAGCACCGGCUAACUACGUG